CGGGUAUAAAAUAAUGUGGUCACGAUUUUGUACUCAGUGCAAUGAAUUAAAAAUAUUCGCUCGAUCCUUGUUUCAGGACAGACACUGAAGAUUUAUCUCAUCAAUGCGGCUAUAGUAGCAGACUGACAAGCCGGAACAGCUCGAAAUUAUUUCCGCUUGCCUCAACAUAUGAGGGUGUAAAACAUACUAAUUUAGUUUAAGAAAACUUCUUCCAUUGUGUAAAAUUAAAAUCGACAUACUAUUUCA